UUGAAACUUCACGGGGCGACCCUCGGCCCCCGCUCCGGUGGAAACGCCGUGACGCGGGGCCGGUCGGGGCGUACCCAUCCACAUCCACCCCUGUGCACCUUUGCGGGACGGCUGGGUUCGCGCUCGGCCGUCUUCGUAUACAACAAACCCAACUUUAGAGUGACUUGGGCGGCUUUGCCUGCCUUGAUGAAAUGUAA
rnacentral:misc_RNA from 2 species